rnacentral:rRNA from 1 species
GAUCAUGGCUCAGGAUGAACGCUGGCGGCGUGCUUAACACAUGCAAGUCGAGCGAAGCACUUAGGAAAGAUUCUUCGGAUGAUUUCCUAUUUGACUGAGCGGCGGACGGGUGAGUAACGCGUGGGUAACCUGCCUCAUACGAGGGGGAUAACAGUUAGAAAUGACUGCUAAUACCGCAUAAGACCACAGCACCGCAUGGUGCGAAGGGGUAAAACUCCGGUGGUAUGAGAUGGACCCGCG